rnacentral:rRNA from 1 species
UACGUAGGGUGCAAGCGUUGUCCGGAAUUAUUGGGCGUAAAGAGCUCGUAGGCGGCUUGUCGCGUCGGAUGUGAAAGCCCGGGGCUUAACUCCGGGUCUGCAUUCGAUACGGGGAGGCUAGAGUUCGGUAGGGGAGAUCGGAAUUCCUGGUGUAGCGGUGAAAUGCGCAGAUAUCAGGAGGAACACCGGUGGCGAAGGCGGAUCUCUGGGCCGAUACUGACGCUGAGGAGCGAAAGCGUGGGGAGCGAACAGG